rnacentral:sRNA from 1 species
GCCGGGCAUGGUGGCGCACACCUUUAAUCCCAGCACUUGGGAGGCAGAGGCAGGCGGAUUUCUGAGUUAGAGGCCAGCCUGGUCUACAAAGUGAGUGCCAGGACUCUCGAAAAACUGUGUAGCCCUGGCUGUCCUGGAACUCACUCUGUAGACCAGGCUGGUCUUGAACUCAGAAAUCGGCCUGCCUCU